rnacentral:rRNA from 1 species
CCUACGGGAGGCAGCAGUGAGGAAUAUUGGUCAAUGGACGCAAGUCUGAACCAGCCAAGUAGCGUGCAGGAUGACGGCCCUCCGGGUUGUAAACUGCUUUUAGUUGGGAAUAAAAGGGGGCUCGUGAGCCCCGUAUUGUAUGUACCAUCAGAAAAAGGACCGGCUAAUUCCGUGCCAGCAGCCGCGGUAAUACGGAAGGUCCGGGCGUUAUCCGGAUUUAUUGGGUUUAAAGGGAGCGUAGGCCGGCUUUUAAGUCAGCUGUGAAAGUCCGCGGCUCAACCGUGGAAUUGCAGUUGAAACUGGAGGCCUUGAGUGCACACAGGGAUGCCGGAAUUCAUGGUGUAGCGGUGAAAUGCUUAGAUAUCAUGAAGAACUCCGAUCGCGAAGGCAAGUGUCCGGGGUGCAACUGACGCUGAGGCUCGAAAGUGCGGGUAUCAAACAGGAUUAGAUACCCUUGUAGUC